AGUGAAAGGGUAUUUCAAAAGCCUUAAGUACCAGACUCCCUGACAGCAUCCAUGGCGGAACAGCAGCCUCACAGUUUGCUUCGUCUAUGUGGCUGCCAGACAGUGUGGUGCUCCUUUCUUUAAAUCCUUAGAUUUCAUCGCCAUGUUAGUAAGCUGUGUCACGGUUGUUAACCUGCACAUGAGCCCGACAAAAGCCCUCCUUCCUAUCCCAGCUCCACACCGCACUCUGUAAAUGGGGAUGGGGUGGGGGUGUCCUCACUUUAGGAGGAAGACAGAUUUAGUUUUUCACUUAGUAACUAUGAAGAAACCAACACGGGCCAAGCCGCUUGGUGCUGAACAGAACAGCCACGGGCUGAGCCUGCGCAGAUGGAACCUAACAAUCUACAGGAGACAGACGAGUGCCUGUACAGCUCCUGGUAGGCUUCCAAGGAUUGCGAUAACAAAUUUUCUCUUCGGACUCACAAGAGGAAACUGAGAAGUCCUGACAAAUGUUAACCUCUGUGAGCUGAGCCGGAGAUCAGACCCGGGACCAAGGCUGUGGCAGGCUUUAUCUGCUGCCCCAUUCUGCCGCUAAAAAGGAAAAUAUUUUUUCUUUAAGCCAAUGACUCACUGUGGAGAAAAAUGGUGGGGGAGGGGCUUCCUCUUCUGGAGGUCAUUAAACAACAGUCAAUCUAAUCUGUGAAGGACAGAGGUGGCAGGAGUAAUGGCAGGAAGCAGGCAGAGGACAUUUAGGGAAUCCAAGCUCUGAUUUAGCGCACAGAGAGAAGGAAUGUGGGCUUUCUCCACACUCUGAGAUUCUGGGAGAGGAACGGCAGGGAUUUAAAGUGUCAACCACAAGGCUGACCUGGCAGCCAGCCCGAGUUUCUGUACUUUUAACUCUUCCUUAACUUUAAUUUUUCAACCCACAUCUGACUAGCUGCCUCACGGGGUUGGGGGUGGGGACUCUAUAACAUGGAGAGGGUCUAGGUGGACUUAAAUAACCUCCCCUCCCACCUCAAAAACCUCAUUUACCCACUAGAUGGUCUUGCAAGGUGGGUCUGGGGUUGGCUUGCCUUUUGUCCUGAAUGCUCCUGUCUGCCUAGCUCUUCCUUUGCAUGAUGACACUCACUGUAUGAGGGAAGCAUCUAGAACCCCACAGCUAACCCCACUACCUGUCAAUCAUCGCUCUCAACUUCCAACACAUUUGCUCUUUCAAACCACUGUCAGAGGUCUGCUUGGCUCAGAAACUCUUCCGGAAUCCCACUGGACACUUUGAACUCAAAAUAAUAUAAUUAGUGAUAAUAACCAACUGAUAAGUAUCUCCGAGUCCAUAAUGCUAGAGUAGAGUGCCAGCUAAUGACGGUGGCGGUAAGGAUUAUGGGAACAGAAAAUUACCAUAGAGCGACCAUCACGGCGGUGGUUGAUGGAGACAGGAAUGGAUGCGAAGGCCGGUGGAUGGAAUAUUUCCCACCAAAGAUGAGGAUAGGGCUGUGGUCUCUGAAAACCUCAUGACAGAACAGACUGUCAGUUAUGAAGGGGAAAGUGAGAAGCCAACUGGGAUCAAGGCUGGCGUCAUGCCCCUGUGAGAUCCACUAAGAUGGGAGAAGAAUCGCAUUUGCCAAGUGAGCUGUGGCCUGACUCUAGAAACAUCUGUGGGUCCUACCAGAAGGUCAAUCUGCAGUACAAAAAGGCUUUCUUUAAAUAUUCUCAAAAGACACAAAGAAAGGAAGCGCAUACCUGUUACAAACCGACAGAGACUAAAUUACUUACAUUUCAAAUUCCUUCCUCCUUCUCUUCCUUCCCAUUUCUAAGGGACGUGAAUACAGCCAGGCCAGGCCCCUGAUGAUGUUUGCUUUGAAGAUUUAGCAGUCAAGUCUGCUCUCUGGUGCAUAUUUGAGGACUUUCCCUUUUUUUUGAGACUUUUUUUUUCUUUUUCUUGACAACAUAUAGCAUCCCCUUCAAUUCUGCAGACUGACAUGUCUGGUGGCCCAUUACAAAGAUAUCACCUGAAGUUCCUUUCUGUGGCGUUACGUCUCCCACAGGGUAGCCUCAACCCAGCACUUCCCAGUGUCUACCCACUCACCUUGGCAUAUCGAACCCCAUUCACCCCCAUCUGUGGCUUCUCCCUCGGUGCAGCCACACCAUUUCCUCAGAUUCUACCAACUGUCGGCAUCAGCUGUGUUGCCCUAUGCCAAAUGUCUGAUCUUCCUCAAAGCCCCACUUACAGCCUUUGCCAUUCUCUUCAGGGCACGGUAGGUUGCCUUGUUCCCACCAUGCUCCUAAAGCCUUUGCGGUAUCCAAUGACCCACGUCGUGGUUAGCAGGCACAUGGUUCACCCCCGACCCUCAACAGAAAAUGUCUUAGGGAGGUGGGAACUGAGCAGAUGUUUAAAAAAAAAAUCCUUCAGUGCCUAGCCAGCCUGGUGCUUACCAUACCAUGUGCUUAGUAUAUGUCGGCAUCAAACCUCACAUCUGUGCAUCUGCUGAUGAGUAAGUGUGGCAGGGAACAACAUCAUAUAUUAAAAGCAGGUAAGCCGGGGCAGACUGCCCAUGCUACUUGCUAGUUAUUGGCAAGCUAGCUUAUCCUCCAACUAUAUAAUUAUAAAAAUAGGUGUCUACAUCACUGCUGUGAGAAUCAUCAGGGAUGCUGGGGAGGCAGGGGGUCCUGUGCUAUGACUAAAUCAGUAACAGCCCUGAUAACCCAGAAAUUAUGCAGAACUCUACCUCUAAAUCUGUCAGGAUCCCAUGAGGUUCAGGUCUGAGGUCUGCAUUAACAUCAAGGGAAUCUGCUAAGCUUUCUCUUGAGCCCCUGAAGCAGGUAUGCAUGAGCACAUGUAUAAUAUAUUGGAGUGGGGGCUGGUAGGUAGAGGGGUAAUUGUGUCCAAUUACACACAGGAAGGAAGUCAAACAAAAGUGAACAGGCACCUUAACUUCUAAAAGCACACUAGGACAAGGUAAAAUAUAUUCUUCCCCCAGGGAUGUGAGAAGGUACUUGAAUGGCGCUCGUUCUGCUGUCUCUGGGGACGUCCUUAGAGCGGAGGGCACCUGAACACUGCACAAAGACUGCCCGAGAACCAGCCAGUACAUUUCCAUGGUGGUCACUUUAGUAGGGCCUUCCUAAGCUGGGGAAAGGAAUAGUUAUCGUUGUGCUGAACAAGAACAUGAGCUAUAAAUGGGUCUUCAUUCAUGGUCAAGCAGUGGACAACUGGAACCCAGACACCAAAAACUGCAGUCAUAUUUUAUGUGUAAAACAAGUCCACUAUUAUUCCAUGAUUUCUAUGGCCACUGCUUGACUGAAUAGCUUGACCGAUUUUUUUUUGAUACCGAAAUUCCCUGUCAGGGCAUGAUGCCAGUGUUUGAGUGAAAGUAGAAAUUAAUCGCCGUGGCUUUCAGACCAGGGGGAGCUCUAGCAGGGCCUGUGGCUUGCUCUGCAGGGCCCAUUGACCAGCACCGCUCCAGUUGCCUCCUGGCCAACAAGACUGAGCCACCCUGCAAAUACAGAAACCCAGUGGCAAUGCUCUUGGCUCUACCCUGGACAUGAGUCAAGAGGCCAGAGCCAGGCAAUAGCAGUGGGGAGGAAGAAAGUGGAAAAGGCCAGCUACUGUUCCUGGGAACAAAAUAGCUUACGUCUUAUUGGGGGUAUGCUGGACCAGGGAGGUAGGUGCAUGGGGGAGGCAGGUACCAUGUGCCUGGCACAACUAUCCUUCCAUAGUGUUCAGAGCCAACAACAGAUGCAUCAACUCUUAGUCAAGAAUCUACAGCCUUCUCACCAGCCAUCCUGAGCUGUUUGCUCUCUAAUGUUCACUGUCUGGCUAUCGAACCGGUAUCAAAUAUUGCGCAGCCUCAUCUCCCCCACCCAGCGGAGAGCUGCUUCCCAACCUUUGUUCUCAGGAAUUCCAUGCCAGAGCUAGAGAGAUGGCUCAGUAGUUAAGAGCACUGGCUAUUCCUGAAGAAGAUCCACGUUCGAUUCCCAGCACCCAACUUGCCCCUCACAGCCAUCUGUAACUCCAGUUCUAGGAAAUGCUAUGUUUUCUUCUGACAUCAUCAGGUACCAGAUACACACAUGGUACACAGACAUACAUGCAUGCAAAAUACCAUAUUCAUACAAUUAAAAAGAAAGCAAAACAAAACAAAACAAAACACCCAAACAAACCACAAAGAAACAUUGAAAUUGGGAAUGGUAGAGCAGACUUUAAUCCCAAUACUCAGAGGCAAUGGCAGACAGAUUUCUGAGUUUGAAGCCAUCCUGGUCUAGAUAUUGAAUUCUACAUCAGCAAGGGCUACAUAGUGAAACCCUGUCCCACCGCAAAAGACAUAAAAAGAAUUCUGGGCAACUCUAAGCACAAACAGAAAGCAGGCCAGGUGACAAGGAUAACUCUGUAAAAAGUAGACAAGUAUCCAAGCUCCGACUGAUAGAGAGGGUGCCAACUACACUUUUGGGAAUGUUUGGGGGAACUUUUGCAGGGAUCCCAGACCCUACAGAGCUGAUACAGGAAACCAGAUUUUAUAUCUCGGACAAACAGAAGAGCGAGUGCUAAAGAGGCAGCUCGGUUAAGAGCACAGCUGUCUUGCGGAGGCCCCGGGUUCAGUUCUCAGCACCGAAGGGUUGCUCACUGCAACUCUAGUUCCAGGGGCUCUGAUGCCCUCUUUUGGCCUCUGUGGGCACUAGGCAUGCACAUAGUUCACAGAGGCACAGCAUUAAAACACACAAAAUAAACAAAAUCUUUAAAAGGAAAAGAAAAACACAUGAAAACAAAUGUCCAAGGAGGGAUGGACGAACAACAACAUAAGGAAAACCCUGGAAUUUAAGAAAGCCACGAACUCAGAAACUCAAGCUUUAACAUCGAUGUGAAUUAGUCAGUCACCAGAGCUACAAGGACAUCUUUGUGCCAAAGCCAUGGGCUAAAGGGAAAGUUUUCACUGAACCGAGAGGCAAGUGCCGAGUUAUUUUUUCCAGCCUGUAGUAAAGGCAAAUAUUUUUCAUAACACACAGAGGUCCACUUUAUAAUGCAGGAACCCCCACCUACAUGUCACGUUCCCCUUCCUUUUUUUGGGGCCUUCCUACUUACCCACCC